AUUGAACGCUGGCGGCAUGCCUUACACAUGCAAGUCGAACGGCAGCACGGGAGCAAUCCUGGUGGCGAGUGGCGAACGGGUGAGUAAUAUAUCGGAACGUGCCCAGUCGUGGGGAUAACGUAGCGAAAGCUACGCUAAUACCGCAUACGAUCUAUGGAUGAAAGCGGGGGAGUCGCAAGACCUCGCGCGAUUGGAGCGGCCGAUAUCAGAUUAGGUAGUUGGUGAGGUAAAGGCUCACCAAGCCAACCGAUCUGUAGCUGGUCUGAGAGGACGACCAGCCACACUGGAACUGAGACACGGUCCAGACUCCUACGGGAGGGCAGCAGUGGGGGAAUUUUUGGGACAAUGGACGCGAAGUCUGAUCCAGCCAUUCCGCGUGCAGGAUGAAGG
rnacentral:rRNA from 1 species